GAUGAACGCUGGCGGCGUGCCUAAUACAUGCAAGUCGAGCGAACAGAUGAGGAGCUUGCUCCUCUGACGUUAGCGGCGGACGGGUGAGUAACACGUGGAUAACCUACCUAUAAGACUGGGAUAACUUCGGGAAACCGGAGCUAAUACCGGAUAAUAUAUUGAACCGCAUGGUUCAAUAGUGAAAGACGGUUUUGCUGUCACUUAUAGAUGGAUCCGCGCCGCAUUAGCUAGUUGGUAAGGUAACGGCUUACCAAGGCAACGAGGCGUAGCCGACCUGAGAGGGUGAUCGGCCACACUGGAACUGAGACACGGUCCGGACUCCUACGGGAGGCAGCAGUAGGGAAUCUUCCGCAAUGGGCGAAAGCUUGACGGAGCAACGCCGCGUGAGUGAUGAAGGUCUUCGGAUCGUAAAACUCUGUUAUUAGGGAAGAACAAAUGUGUAAGUAACUAUGCACGUCUUGACGGUACCUAAUCAGAAAGCCACGGCUAACUACGUG
rnacentral:rRNA from 1 species